AGAGUUUGAUCAUGGCUCAGGACGAACGCUGGCGGCGUGCCUAAUACAUGCAAGUCGAGCGGAUUCAUUCCUUCGGGAGUGGGUUAGCGGCGGACGGGUGAGUAACACGUAGGCAACCUGCCUGUAAGACUGGGAUAACUACCGGAAACGGUAGCUAAGACCGGAUAAUCAGUUUGCUCGCAUGAGUGGAUUGUGAAACACGGGGCAACCUGUGGCUUACGGAUGGGCCUGCGGCGCAUUAGCUAGUUGGGGAGGUAACGGCUCACCAAGGCGACGAUGCGUAGCCGACCUGAGAGGGUGAACGGCCACACUGGGACUGAGACACGGCCCAGACUCCUACGGGAGGCAGCAGUAGGGAAUCUUCCGCAAUGGACGCAAGUCUGACGGAGCAACGCCGCGUGAGUGAGGAAGGCCUUCGGGUCGUAAAGCUCUGUUGCCCUAGACGAACGCUUGGGAGAGUAACUGCUCUCAAGGUGACGGUAUAGGAGAAGAAAGCCCCGGCUAACUACGUGCCAGCAGCCGCGGUAAUACGUAGGGGGCAAGCGUUGUCCGGAAUUAUUGGGCGUAAAGCGCGCGCAGGCGGUCGG
rnacentral:rRNA from 1 species